GGGGGGGGGGGGGGGGGGGGGGGGGGCGGGGGGGGGGGGGGGGCGGGGGGGGAGCGUGCUCGGCUGGGGGUAGCGGCGGGCGGGGGAGUGGCACGUGGAUAGCCUACCUAUAAGACUGGGAUAACUUCGGGAAACCGGAGCUAAUACCGGGUAAUAUAUUGAACCGCAUGGUUCAAUAGUGAAAGACGGUUUUGCUGUCACUUAUAGAUGGAUCCGCGCCGCAUUAGCUAGUUGGUAAGGUAACGGCUUACCAAGGCGACGAUGCGUAGCCGACCUGAGAGGGGGAUCGGCCACACUGGAACUGAGACACGGUCCAGACUCCUACGGGAGGCAGCAGUAGGGAAUCUGCCGCAAUGGGCGAAAGCCUGACGGAGCAACGCCGCGUGAGUGAUGAAGGUCUUCGGAUCGUAAAACUCUGUUAUUAGGGAAGAACAAAUGUGUAAGUAACUAUGCACGUCUUGACGGUACCUAAUCAGAAAGCCACGGCUAACUACGUG
rnacentral:rRNA from 1 species